GACGAACGCUGGCGGCGUGCUUAACACAUGCAAGUCGAACGGAAAGGCCCCCACCUUGGUGGGGGUGCUCGAGUGGCGAACGGGUGAGUAACACGUGGGUGAUCUGCCCUGUACUUCGAGAUAAGCUUGGGAAACUGGGUCUAAUACCGGAUAGGACCAUGGUUUAGUGUCUCAUGGUGGAAAAAUUAUUGUUUUGGUGCAGGAUGAGCUCGCGGCCUAUCAGCUUGUUGGUGGGGUAAUGGCCUACCAAGGCGUCGACGGGUAGCCGGCCUGAGAGGGUGGACGGCCACAUUGGGACUGAGAUACGGCCCAGACUACUACGGGAGGCAGCAGUGGGGAAUAUUGCACAAUGGGCGCAAGCCUGAUGCAGCGACGCCGCGUGGGGGAUGACGGCCUUCGGGUUGUAAACUCCUUUCGUUAGGGACGAAGCCACACCUUUUUUGGGUGUGGUGACGGUACCUUUGUUAAGAAGCACCGGCUAACUACGUG
rnacentral:rRNA from 1 species